UGCUAUACAUGCAAGUCGAGCGAACAGAUAAGGAGCUUGCUCCUUUGACGUUAGCGGCGGACGGGUGAGUAACACGUGGAUAACCUACCUAUAAGACUGGGAUAACUUCGGGAAACCGGAGCUAAUACCGGAUAAGAUUUUGAACCGCAUGGUUCAAUAGUGAAAGACGGCCUUGCUGUCACUUAUAGAUGGAUCCGCGCCGUAUUAGCUAGUUGGUAAGGUAACGGCUUACCAAGGCAACGAUACGUAGCCGACCUGAGAGGGUGAUCGGCCACACUGGAACUGAGACACGGUCCAGACUCCUACGGGAGGCAGCAGUAGGGAAUCUUCCGCAAUGGGCGAAAGCCUGACGGAGCAACGCCGCGUGAGUGAUGAAGGUCUUCGGAUCGUAAAACUCUGUUAUCAGGGAAGAACAAACGUGUAAGUAACUGUGCACGUCUUGACGGUACCUGAUCAGAAAGCCACGGCUAACUACGUGCCAGCAGCCGCGGUAAUACGUAGGUGGCAAGCGUUAUCCGGAAUUAUUGGGCGUAAAGCGCGCGUAGGCGGUUUUUUAAGUCUGAUGUGAAAGCCCACGGCUCAACCGUGGAGGGUCAUUGGAAACUGGAAAACUUGAGUGCAGAAGAGGAAAGUGGAAUUCCAUGUGUACCGGUGAAAUGGCCAGAGAUAUGGAGGAACACCAGUGGCGAAGGCGACUUUCUGGUCUGUAACUGACGCUGAUGUGCGAAAGCGUGGGGAUCAAACAGGAUUAUAUACCCUGGUAGUCCACGCCGUAAACGACGAGUGCUAAGUGU
rnacentral:rRNA from 1 species